CUGCUCUCACCCCGCACACAGGCACACGGCACUACCGCCGCCUCCGCGUCUCUGCACCCUCCGGCCGCUCCGGCCGGUCGCCGCGUCGCUCCAGCCCCCGGCCGCUCCCGUCGCCCUCCCCCUACCCCUCGCACACGCACCAUCACGCCCGACGCCCUGCCACUCGCGCCCGGCCAUCGGCCGGUUCCCCUCGCGACGCCGAUCCCUUCCUUAACGAAACACCGAUCCCUCCUCACCCCGUCGCCCUCGCCCAGCCCUUCCUCACAUGCAGUGCCGUAUGCCGCUAUCAUCAACGAGAUUGGAAUCGAUUGGUGGUGCCACUUGCCUGCCCUACGUCUCCUUCCUCAUGGUGGUCUAGGUUAGCACAUUCAAGGACAGAUUGUACGGAUCUGAUGAAAAAGAACAGUGAUCACAUUCCAUUUGGAGACCUUCAUAACACCACAAAUGGAGUCAAAAUGAAUAGUUCACUGCCACAAGCUGCGCUCCGCUGAAUUGCACCUACCCGUCCCUGGUACUAUGGUGUUCACACACAAUUUGCUGGUGGCGAUGUCAUGUUAAACAAGGAAAACAUAGACACUAAUGGCAGUACUGAUUGGCUCCAUAGAAACUCAUCAUACCAGCACCACAAAUUUGAUAAUGAUAGUAUCCAUUCUAAUACCAGCUAUUUUUACUAUAGUGGCCUCUCUAGGAGUUUGAUGUUUACUAUUAGAUUUUCAAGAAAAACCAUGACGCCAUUUUCUACAAACUCAAAUUUUAUGUAUAUAUUCAAGCAACAAUAGUAUUAUCGAUUUCGUCUGUGUAGGUUUGUACUUCAUGCAUGUAUUGGACUUAUGUACAAUUUUAUAGUUUUGGAUUCAGUGAUGAAAGUUUGGGCUUAUAUGUAUAUAAUCGUGAUGAAAAAUUGACCAUGCUGAGGCAUUGGAUUUGUAACCUAUUAUAGAUAAU